rnacentral:lncRNA from 1 species
GUUUGGUAUUUGAUUAAGGUUGCUAGGUUACAAAAGGUGUCUUUCUGUGGAUGGGUGUAUACUUCCCUGGGACUUAUUCUAAUUUGCCUCUGCUAAAGGCAGGCCUUUAGGGCCUAAGUUUCUCAGUGACAACUCUCCUUGAUUUGGAGAGUUGUUAGGAGGAAACUCCUCACUAAUGUGUCCUCUUCACUGACCAAAAAAAUAGUGAAGAGUCCAAUGUGGCUAAUAAGCCAUCAGAUGAAAACCUCAAAUCUUUAUAUUGAUCAGAUCAUGACCAGUUAAGGACAUUUUCUAGGAAGACUCUUGAAGAUAAUAAAGAGAAACACCAGGCAUGGUGGCAUAUGACUGUAAUCUCAGUGAUUCAGGAGACUAAGGCAGGAGGAUGACAAGGUCAGGACCAGCCUGGGCAAUUAGUGAGACCCUGUCUCAAAUUUUUAAAAGGGCUGUGGAGGUAGUUUGGUAGUAGAGGCAAGAACAAAGACUCAGUCUUCCAGAGGAGGGGCUGGUGCUUUCCACCCAGGGCACUUCUGAUGUGGGUGAGUUGAGUGGAGAACUUUUGAGUUUCUCAUCUGGGUUAGAGAUACAUGUGCUUAGGUUUUGUGUGUGUGUUCUGUGUGGUUUUUUUCGGGUUUGUGUGGUACUAGGGAUGGAAUCCAGGGGCACUCUACCACUGAGCUACAUCCCCAGUCCCUUUUAUUAACUUUUAGACAGGGUCUCUAAGUUGCUUAGGAUGUUCUCAAGUUUGUGAUCCUCCUACCUCAGCCUCCACAGUUGCUGGAAUUACAGGUGUCUGCCACCACACCUGAACAUGCACUCUGUGCUGAUGACUUUUGUACCACUAGCCCUAGCCCCGACCUUUCACAAAUUUCCGC